rnacentral:rRNA from 1 species
AAUGAACGCUGGCGGCGUGCUUAACACAUGCAAGUCGAACGGCAGCACGGGAGCAAUCCUGGUGGCGAGUGGCGAACGGGUGAGUAAUAUAUCGGAACGUGCCCAGUCGUGGGGGAUAACGUAGCGAAAGCUACGCUAAUACCGCAUACGAUCUAUGGAUGAAAGCGGGGGAUCGCAAGACCUCGCGCGAUUGGAGCGGCCGAUAUCAGAUUAGGUAGUUGGUGAGGUAAAGGCUCACCAAGCCGACGAUCUGUAGCUGGUCUGAGAGGACGACCAGCCACACUGGGACUGAGACACGGCCCAGACUCCUACGGGAGGCAGCAGUGGGGAAUUUUGGACAAUGGGCGCAAGCCUGAUCCAGCAAUGCCGCGUGCAGGAUGAAGGCCUUCGGGUUGUAAACUGCUUUUGUACGGAGCGAAAAGGCUUCCACUAAUACUGGGGGCUCAUGACGGUACCGUAAGAAUAAGCACCGGCUAACUACGUGCCAGCAGCCGCAGUAACAC